ACAAUCUACCAUACCCACCAUACCUCCUGAGGACUAUCGUGAAUGCUGUGGAGUAAAUCGAGCAUCCGCAGACAUCGAGUAUGUAUAAAUCAGCCGCUUAAACAACACGUGUUUACUUAGGCAAAAUGUCCAUAAAAGAAGGAGACAAUUUGCGAGAGUUACAACCAAUAAAUUUAAGUGGCAAUAUAAUUCAAUCUGAUAAAGAUGAUGCCAUAAAUAAAGUACAAAUGAAAAAACAACUUGGAUUACUUGAAGGAGUUGCUAUUAUUUUGGGUAUUAUUCUUGGAUCAGGAAUAUUUAUAUCACCAAAGGAAGUAAUAGAAGAAGUGGGAAGUGUUGGUCUUUCCCUAAUGAUUUGGAUACUUUGUGGUUUAUUAUCGAUGAUUGGUGCCUUGUGUUACACAGAAUUAGGAACCACAAUCCCAAGAAGUGGCGGCGAUUAUGCCUAUAUUUACGAAGCCUUUGGUGAUUUACCUGCAUUUUUAUAUUUAUGGGCAGCCAAUAUAAUAUUUGUUCCAACAACAAAUGCCAUUAUGGCCUUGACUGUUGCUAAAUACGUUUUGGAACCAUUUUUUCACAAUUGCAUCGUUCCUGCGGAUGCAGAAAAAUUAAUCGCAGCUGUUGUAAUAUGUUUUUUAACUUUCAUUAAUUGCUAUGGGGUUAAAGAGACAUCUAAAAUGCAAAAUUUUUUCAUGUUUGCAAAAAUAGCUGCCCUUGCUCUUAUCAUUAUUUCCGGUUUCAUUUGGCUUUUUAUGGGAAAUUACUCAAGCUUUCAAGAACCAUUUAAAAAUACAAAUUCUGAUCCGGGGAAAGUAGCAGUUGGAUUUUAUUUAGGAAUAUUCUCCUACUCUGGCUGGAAUUACUUAAACUUUAUGACUGAAGAAUUACAGAAUCCUUACGUGAACUUGCCACGUGCUAUUUACAUUUCAUUGCCUUUGGUUACAUUAAUCUACGUAUUGACAAACGUAGCAUAUCUGGCUGUUUUAUCACCGUAUGCAAUGUCACAGUCAAAUGCAAUUGCUGUUACUUUUGGAGAUAAAAUCCUGGGUGUGAUGUCUUGGAUACUGCCGGUAAUGGUAGCUGUAUCGGCUUUUGGAGGUUUGAGUGUUCAUAUAAUGACAUCAUCGAGAAUGUGUUUCGUAGGUGCUCGAAAUGGACAUUUUCCAUCAAUGUUGAGUCAUAUAAAUGUCAAUAAAUUUACACCAACACCGGCCUUAGUAUUUAUGUGCCUCUUGUCUCUGAUAAUGCUUUCAACUAAUAAAUUGGAUGUUCUUAUCACUUAUUGUACAAUUGUUGAAUCGUUCUUUAUAAUGCUCUCUGUGGCUGGAGUUCUUUGGUUGAGACAUAAGCGACCCAAAAUGCCACGACCUAUCAAGAUUUCUCUCUGGAUUCCAAUUGUGUUUGUUGUGGUUUGUGCAUUUCUAGUGAUUGUUCCAUGUUAUGAACGACCUUUUGAGGUUGGCAUGGGAUUAGUUAUUACGUUAACAGGUAUUCCCGCUUAUUUAGUAGGAGUUUGUUGGAAAAAAAAACCUAUGAGUUUUCAAAAAUUUAACAUGAAAUUAACUCAUACAGUACAGAAGUUAUUUAUGGCAGCAAGAGAAGAUCAUGAUGACUGAAAUGGUUUACUUGAUUUUAACUUGUGGAAAAUGAAUGGAUUAUAUAGACUGUCUAGACAAUAAUAUCCAAUCUUCAAUUAAGUAUAGCUGAAUAUCAAAGUCACAAUUUUAGGGCAUGCCAAAUACGCUUGAUGUACCAAUGAUUUAUUAUACACAGAAGGUGUAAAAUACCAUCCAAUCAAGAAUCUGAAGAAUAGCUAAAUCAGCUGACCUGCCGUCACACCUACAAAGGAUGCGUUCAAUUUUUUCACUACAUAAGCGACAUCUGGAAUUUAGUUUUCUUCAAUUGGUAAUAACGACGAUAUCGACUGUCGUCUUUUUGCUCGACAGGUUCCCAAUAUGUUAUACUAUACGAGAAACCGCGUCCCUCCAAGAACACCACGAGGUACAGUAGAUUUCAAGAAUGUGAGUUGAAAGAGGACCAACUGUUAAAAGUCACCACCGAUGGCGUCAGUUAUGCACAGGGCCUAUUUCAAUUAAAAAGCAUGGAAUAAUGCAACAAAAAUUAUGUUUUUAUUAAUUUAAAUUAAUUCAACUGUAUUUCUUUAUACAUAAUAUUGAUUUAAAAGCUUUAUAAAAUAUUUUGUAAUAUAGGUUUUAGUUUAUUACGACAUGAAAAAUUAUUUCGUUUAGCUUUCGGAAAACACACCUCUUUUUUAGAUCAUUUUUCAAAGCUCAACCAAUUUUGAACUGUUCAUCUGAUCAAACUGAAGAAUUUUUUAAAUAUAGUUUUAACUCUGUAAAAUAAGUCUGUAGAGGAGAACGGGGCGAGGCAGCCAAGACGGCACAUUUUGGUUUGCGAGGCAGUUAUUUAAAUAGGUUUUUUCAAUUUUAAUAUCGCGUUAGAAAGCUUGCCCAGUAAAAAAAAGUAUUUAGAAUAGAGAAAAAGUAUUGGUGGUGACCGUUCGGUAAAUGCGUUUUCGCGUAAAAACCGUAUUGGUGGGUUACGGUGGGUGUUUACGAGAUAUAGGCCCUGAAGCGCCUCGGAGGCGUGAAAGGUUCUCAUUUUAGUUUGAAAAGUAAAUUUGUUAACUUGGACUCUGAUUCGUUGAGAGCGUAUGAAUCAGAUAGUGUGUGUGAUACUGGCUGCAGUUUUAUAGGUAUUUAACUAGAAGGGUUGCGUUCUGAAAUAGUAAAUUGCGCAAAAGCUGCGUUCAGACCGUUUUUUGCGGAAGCGCUCAUGCGCAAACCCUAGCAAGUGUGCUUGCCUACCGCUCUGAGCAUCUCGAAGCAGCUCGGCAUGUGUGCAUAUAGGCACACCUGCACGUGUGCUUUGAAUGUUUUGAUUCUCAUCAUUUUUCAUAAAUUAAUAAAAACUAAGUGCCUUAUUUAAUUAAACUGUUAACAAUAAUUAUAAAUAUUGCUUAAAGUAAUAAAUAAAAUAUAUUUUAUUGAAAAGCGCUUAA